AUCCAAAUGAAGAGUCGGAAAUAGGACGAAACGCGUAUCCUGGAU
rnacentral:hammerhead_ribozyme from 1 species